rnacentral:rRNA from 1 species
UACGGGGGGGGCAAGCGUUGUUCGGAAUUACUGGGCGUAAAGGGCUCGUAGGCGGCCAACUAAGUCGGAUGUGAAAUCCCCAGGCUUAACCUGGGAAUUGCAUCCGAUACUGGAUGGCUUGAAUCCGGGAGAGGGAUGCGGAAUUCCAGGUGUAGCGGUGAAAUGCGUAGAUAUCUGGAGGAACACCGGUGGCGAAGGCGGCAUCCUGGACCGAUACUGACACUGAGGAGCGAAAGCCAGGGGAGCAAACGGG